rnacentral:lncRNA from 1 species
GAAUAGACUUUUUAGACCUAAUUUUGCUGUCAGAAUAAGUUACUUGGUAAUAUAAUAUUCAGUAUGAAAAUAUUUUUUUUGUGAUUAAAAGUUAAAAUUGUAAUUAAAUGACUAGAAUGAAAUAUGUUAUCCUAUCAACUGAUGAAUGUCGGAGCCCUUCGAAAAAUAAAAUGUAAACUUCUACCUUCCAAUUACAGAAUAUUUUUAUAUCGAAUAUAUUUUCAUCGAAUAACUUAUUCUGACACCUAAAACAAGCUCUAAAUUCUAAGCAAAAUUCAAGCACAUUCACAAACAUGU